GGAUUCGAUCAUACCAGCACUAAAGCAUCGGAUCCCAUCAGAACUCCAAAGUUAAGCGUGCUUGGGCGAGAGUAGUACUAGGAUGGGUGACCUCCUGGGAAGUCCUCGUGUUACAUUCC
rnacentral:rRNA from 16 species